rnacentral:rRNA from 1 species
CCUACGGGAGGCAGCAGUUUGGAAUAUUGGACAAUGGGCGAAAGCCUGAUCCAGCCAUGCCGCGUGUGUGAAGAAGGUCUUCGGAUUGUAAAGCACUUUAAGUUGGGAGGAAGGGCAUUAACCUAAUACGUUAGUGUUUUGACGUUACCGACAGAAUAAGCACCGGCUAACUCUGUGCCAGCAGCCGCGGUAAU